rnacentral:rRNA from 1 species
UACGUAGGGGGCAAGCGUUGUCCGGAUUUAUUGGGCGUAAAGAGCGUGUAGGCGGUUUGGUGGGUCCGCUGUGAAAACUCGAGGCUCAACCUCGAGACGCCGGUGGAAACCAUCAGACUAGAGUCCGGAAGAGGAGAGUGGAAUUCCUGGUGUAGCGGUGAAAUGCGCAGAUAUCAGGAAGAACACCCGUGGCUAAGGCGGUUCUCUAGUACGGUACUGACGCUGAGACGCGAAAGCGUGGGGAGCGAACAGG